ensembl:snoRNA
AGCAUUGCUUAUUGAUAUGUUUGCAGUGGAAUCUGAAAGAAGCCAGCUGCAGAUAUUCCUUGCCAAGUUAAAUAAAUUUAUACUGUCAGUAUCUACUAUGAA